rnacentral:misc_RNA from 1 species
GAUGAAGAACGUAGCGAAAUGCGAUAAGUAAUGUGAAUUGCAGAAUUCAGUGAAUCAUCGAAUCUUUGAACGCACAUUGCGCCCGCCAGUAUUCUGGCGGGCAUGCCUGUUCGAGCGUCAUUUCAACCCUCAAGCACAGCUUGGUGUUGGGACUCGCGUUAAUUCGCGUUCCUCAAAUUGAUUGGCGGUCACGUCGAGCUUCCAUAGCGUAGUAGUAAAACCCUCGUUACUGGUAAUCGUCGCGGCCACGCCGUUAAACCCCAACUUCUGAAUGUUGACCUCGGAUCAGGUAGGAAUACCCGCUGAACUUAAGCAUAUCAAUAAGCGGAGA